rnacentral:tRNA from 1 species
GGCGUAGUUGCUCUGUCGGUAUGGGCAGCCUGACUUUCAAUCAGGACCCUCGUCGGUUCGACUCCGAUCUACGUCACC